rnacentral:rRNA from 1 species
GACGAACGCUGGCGGCGUGCUUAACACAUGCAAGUCGAACGGAAAGGCCCUGCUCUUGUUUGUCUCUCGAGUGGCGAACGGGUGAGUAACACGUGAGUAACCUGCCCCUGACUGUGUGAUAACUUCAGGAAACUCGGGCGAAUACCCGAUAUGAGCUCCUGCUGCAUGGGGGUGGAUGGAAAGUGUCGGCGGUUGUGGAUGGACUCGCGGCUUACCAGCUUGUUGGUGGGGUAGUGGCUUACCAAGCCUGUGACGGGUAGCCGGCCUGAGAGCGGGACCGGCCACAAUAGGACUGAGAUACGGACCAGAAUCCUACGGGAGGCAGUGGUGGAGAAUAUUGCGCAAUGGGCGGACGCCUGAUGCAGCAACGCCGCGUGCGGGAUGACGGCCUUCGGGUUGUAAACCGAUUUGGCAUGUGACGAAGAGUGAGUGACGGUAAUGGGUAAAGAAGCAACGGCUAACUACGUG